AGUAUUCGGGUUCUAUGUUUUCACAAACUCUAUGAAUGUCUUUGAAUGUUUUUUACUGGGACUUAAUUGGCCCUUUAAACUUUAUACAACUUCCAGCAACGGAUCUCUUGGCUCUCGCAUCGAUGAAGAACGCAGCGAAAUGCGAUAAGUAAUGUGAAUUGCAGAAUUCAGUGAAUCAUCGAAUCUUUGAACGCACCUUGCGCCCUUUGGUAUUCCGAAGGGCAUGCCUGUUUGAGUGUCAUUAAAUUCUCAACUUCAAAGGCUUUGUCUUUUGAAGCUUGGAUGGUGAAGGCUUGCUGGCGUUUUAAAUGUCUCAGCUCCUUUGAAAAGUAUUAGUGGACCCGUUUGUGUUCAUUCCUUAGUGUGAUAAUUAUCUACGCUGUGGUCUUUGAAUGCAUGCUCAUUAGAAUCUUUCGAGCUGUUGUUUUUACUACAGUCUCGGUGUGGAGAGUUGCAUGAAUUUGCUCUUUCUGUCUCUUGAGUCAGGAUUGUCUGCUUCAAACCGUCUACACAUUGUAGACAAUUUUGAACCAUUUGACCUCAAUCAGGUAGGACUACCCGCUGAACUUAAGCAUAUCAUAAGCGGAGGA
rnacentral:rRNA from 1 species